AACUCUAGAGGAAAAGCUGGGCCGGAAAAGUGGGAACCUCUAGGGCGCCGCCCUGUUGCUACUGGUCAAUGUGGCCAGCGCAAUUACUAUUGAAAGAGCUGAAAACAAGUACAGGUCACCUUAUGCUUUGUCAUCUAAAAACGCAUACCUGAUGGCUUUAUGAAGGUGGUGCACUAAUAUUAAGUUUACAGAAAGCAAUCGGUAAGUCCGUGACUUAUGUAAAUCACGAACUACGCAUUCAUUUAAUAAAGGAUGACGCGAAUUUCGGUUUCGAAUCUGGUUUUUGGAUGCGUAGUAGUUUCGUACAGUUUAGGUUUGACAUGCGAUCGCGCGUCGACAUCGGACGCUAUGGCACACUCGUGCCUUCUGUGCCACCGAAGCCCCGAAGUGCCCAGACAUGUACCUUCACAUGUAAGUAAACGAAUGCAUCUCCUUGUUGAGAAUAUCACGCGAGUAGGCAGCACUUGUGGGGCAUCACAAUUGUUUGAGAAGCGUCACAGUAGAGCAUUUUUCUACAUGCGGAGCGGCGUUUUUAUUUGCAGGUUUCCCUUCAGUAGGAAAUUGCUGGACAGGCGGACCAGCGCACCGGAAUUGUACUGGCGAAGCCACAAGCAACUCAAAGAAUCUGUUUAAUUGUUGCACUUUGAACAAUCAUGCUUCUACAAAGGCCACAGCAGAAAAACAGCCUGAUGCCGAGUAUUUCUGUGCCACGAAGUAGUCCAGAGGCGAGUGCCUAAUGCGGACGAAAUCGAGUGCAUUGAGACUUAGAACGACAGAAAGCUGAGCUAGUUGGUAAGGAUUCAUUAUGCAAAACAGAGGUGAGGCGUGCAGACAGGACACAAGAGUAGAGAAGUGGGCGGCGCUCGUGUUGCAUGUUUGCUUGUAAAUACUCUAUUCUUGUGUCCUGUCUGCACGCCUCACCUCCGUUUUGCAUAACGAGUGUAUCAACCCACAUAUUAAUAACGUAGGCGUUUUACUAACUGUGCAAUAUUUUCAACACUUCCUUGCAUGCCAUUUCAUGUGGAAUAUCUUUUUUGGUCACAAAUUUGUGCAGCGAAUCUAUUUGCAUGAUCGACUUCGGCCCUGUAGGUCCGUUCACUUGCACUUGAUGCUGAGUCUUUUACAUGUACCCAUAAACUGCAGAUAUGCACAUCAGAUCCCUGCGAGCAUUUUCAAAAUUCGGUUAUUUUAGACAACAGGCACAUAUAUGCAAUACUGACAUAAUCUCAAAUACCACUAUAAGCAGCUGGGACACAUUUUUGUUGACCAUACUCGCAGGUAAAAUAAGUAGAUUAUGUGGACAGCUUCAGCUCAUUUUCCUUAAAUCAGUGUGUACAAGGGGUAUGCAAAAAUAAUUUUUUUCUCGCGCACAGAUUCUUUUGCUGUAUAAGCAAGAGAAGCCACCACGUUAGUGUAACGUAUCUUGUACAUCACACUAAUAAGUGCUUUAAUUUACCAAGUGAGAUGAGUUACUUUUAUGGAUCAUUCAGUCAUAUCACACUGCAAGCUGCAUUCAUCAAUCUUCAAUUGGAUUUCGCAUGAAACAUGUUUCCCUUUUAUGCAGAUAUGCAAUGGCAAGCCCUUCCGUGUGUUCCAAAGGUAAAAUUUAAGCUCGAAAUUAAAGAAGACAUUUCUAGUCAGAAACAAGCAAAAAUGGUGGAUGCAGAGUAUCAGAAGCCCAAGGUACAGAAAUUAUGGGAAGUGUCGAAUGAUUUUAAGGAAAGAAUGGUAUUUGAAGAUGCAAGAUUCUUUAGUGGAAAUCAAGCAAGUCAGUAUAGGUAGAAUACUCUGAGAAAUUAUGCGAGUAAUGGGAUAGCACACAAUGGGUCAGGAAAUGCGUUGUUUUUCUGAAAAACUAAAGCUGAUGACUGUCAUAUCAUGAGUCACUUUAGCAUCAUGAGACUGCUGUUUGAUAAAUUCAGAAACAAACCAAAAAGCAAGCCAUGCAAAAAUAAAAAAAUACUAUUUAAUGAUGCUCUCUCCACACUGGGAUAAAUAAUAAGAAACGGAUCACGUCUAAUGUGGACAUAUCAGACACCUUGUGAAACACUAAAGGAAAAAUUCAGUUUCGAGCUAUGGCACUUGCCGCAUAGAUGUGGGGGGCCUUGCACCAAUAGUAAUAGUUACCACUGCAUCUAGAAAUUUAAAGCAUUCAUGCAGACAAGGAUAAUUAUAUUUUUGGCUACCACGUCAAAUGCCUCCUCUAAGUGUUACAAUGCUGCACGCAGCCAUACUAAGGAUCUCACAGCAACACUUGCAGGUAAACAGCAAAAGCAGUUAAAGUGCUGGUGUAUUCUGGACACUGUCUUUGAAAACUUUUAGGCAAGAACAGUGCGAGAAACAGACAUAAGAACUGCAUUUAUUUCUAUAAUUCCCCAUUUGAAUGGCCUUUUCUUUUUCCUUCGACAAUGCCUUCGCCUAGCCACAGAAGCUCCCUCAUACAGACUCCGCAAGCCAAGAGGCCGUGGAGGCAAAUGCAGACAGCCAGCACACCUCGAACAGCCACCUUGACUGCGGGUGUGUCACCCUAGUCGCCAAGGAAACAUUUGAGGGAAAGCGACAGGCAAUGUGAACAGCCACUUCUCCAUGUAAACGAUACUCUUUCUCUCGGAUGACUCCUACGUUUGCCACGCUAGCACACUUGUGCACAAAGAUGCCGCGGAGGCACGUGCAGGUCAGAGGCAAGAAGCAGUGGCACUGGUGUCAACAUUCGCCCAAUUUCUUUUUCUUACGCUGAGGCAGCCAGCACACCUCGAACAGCCACCUUAACUGCGGGUGUGUUAGUAGAUUCCUGUUGUACAUAUGCUCAUAAUAAACUUCAGUAAACUUGAACUUGAUAAUAAACUUGAAGGCAAAUGGGA